GGUAAAUUUUAGCUCAGUUGGUAGAGCGCCACCCUUACAAGGUGGAUGUCAUAAGUUCGAGUCUUAUAGUGACCACCA
rnacentral:tRNA from 1 species